AGCAGAUAAAGAGGAUAUUUUCUGAGAACAAAAGGUAAGGGUAAAUUGGCUCAAGUUAGGGGACUAGAACACGUCAUUCGUCCAUAAGUUACAAGUGGUCGUAAAAAGAACACGAUCCGUGGUUUAAAAGGCGAAAAUAGAAAAUUGGUAUAUAAAGAUGGUGAACUUAUUGAAAUUGCUUCCUAAUAUUUUCAAGAACUG
rnacentral:lncRNA from 1 species